rnacentral:rRNA from 1 species
UACGAAGGGGGCUAGCGUUGCUCGGAAUCACUGGGCGUAAAGCGCACGUAGGCGGAUCCUUAAGUCGGGGGUGAAAUCCUGGAGCUCAACUCCAGAACUGCCUUCGAUACUGAGGAUCUCGAGUCCGGGAGAGGUGAGUGGAACUGCGAGUGUAGAGGUGAAAUUCGUAGAUAUUCGCAAGAACACCAGUGGCGAAGGCGGCUCACUGGCCCGGUACGGACGCUGAGGUGCGAAAGCGUGGGGAGCAAACAGG